rnacentral:lncRNA from 1 species
AUGGGAGAGACUGAGAACGUGUAUGGGAGAUUAGAGAGAGACUUAGUAACAAGAGAAUAAGAACCAAGAACAAGUUUAUGAAGAAGAGAGACUCUCUCAGCUUAAGGGUUUACAAAGUGAUCAUAAGAGGCUUAUAUAUGCCUUUACACAACUUAUAUCACAAACCUAGAUCCUAAGGCUGUAAUUAAAAGAUAGAAUGGAUGGUAAGGAUGAGAGAAGACUGGUCUUGAUGUUUCUGGUGCUAGCUGGCGUGGCUUAUUCAAAUGGAAGGCUCAGAUUGCUUCUUUUGAAUGAAGGGAGGAGAUGGGUCUUGGCUGUAAAGGUAAAGCUUCUUUUCCCUUUCCAGCCUGUCUCUUGGACCACAAGAUGCUCAGGUAUAUUCCUUCCCUCCAUAAGCCUUCAACGGUCACUUAAGAUAGGAUUGGAUCAAAGUAAACCGCCCUCACAUUGCUCAUCUUUGAUUUAAGCUGAACCGGGUGACUUGGGCGUGUGGAGUGGCCGUACGGUUGAUGGUACGGACCUCCUGUCCGUACCACAAUCCCUAACUAUGCACAUUGCCUUAUCUCCUUCUUGACUGAUCCCAAACACCUUCAUGAUUCACCCUAGACCGUACAAGGCCGUACUGAACGCCCUAUCUUUGCACCACACUUCCAUCUUCUCUCUAACUCCUCCAAAGCCUUCACAUGAUCAGUCUAAGUCUUUCCUAGACUUAACUUCACAAGAUAACUACUUCAGAACACUUCUGAAGCUUGAUUGAACUCUUCUAGACAUCUUCUAGAGCUUGCCCUAUUGUUGUACAAGCUCUAUCUUCUCUUCU